CGUAGUUAGCCGAGACUUAUUCCCAUGGUACCGUCCUUUCUCUUCCCAUGGAAAAGGGGUUUACGACCCGAAGGCCUUCAUCCCCCACGCGGCGUUGCUGCAUCAGGCUUGCGCCCAUUGUGCAAUAUUCCUC
rnacentral:rRNA from 1 species